rnacentral:snRNA from 10 species
AAACUUAUCUGGCAGGGGAGCUACCAUGAACAUCAGGGUAGUUUUCACAAGGCAAAUUUCAACCCUUGCACUCUGGAUGAUGAGCCAUUACUUAGUGGGUACAUGCGUGUGAUUGGAGUGAUGGAUACUGUGGAACACCGACUUCAC